rnacentral:tRNA from 1 species
UAGCUCAGUGGUAGAGCGGUUGGCUGUUAACUGAUAGGUCGUAGGUUCGAAUCCUAC